UACAGAGGGUGCAAGCGUUAAUCGGAAUUACUGGGCGUAAAGCGUGCGUAGGUGGCCUUACAAGUCAGGUGUGAAAUCCCCGGGCUCAACCUGGGAACUGCGCUUGAUACUGUUUGGCUAGAGUGUGGUAGAGGGUGGCGGAAUUCCGCAUGUAGCGGUGAAAUGCGUAGAUAUGCGGAGGAACACCAGUGGCGAAGGCGGCCACCUGGACCAACACUGACACUGAGGCACGAAAGCGUGGGGAGCAAACAGG
rnacentral:rRNA from 1 species